rnacentral:tRNA from 1 species
ACUUAAUUAGUUUAAAUGUAAAAUAAUAAUUUGUGGAAUUAUAGAUGAAUAUUCAUUAAGUA